UGCCAGCCGCCGCGGUAAUACGGAGAGUGCAAGCGUUACUCGGAAUCACUGGGCAUAAAGAGCACGUAGGCGGAAAUGUGUGUCGGUGCUGAAAGCCCUCGGCUCAGCCGAGGAACUGGCUCCGAAACUGCAUUUCUUGAGGACGAGAGGGGAGAGCGGAACUUCUGGUGGAGCGGUGAAAUGCGUAGAUAUCAGAAGGAACACCGAUGGCGAAAGCAGCUCUCUGGCUUGUUUCUGACGCUGAGGUGCGAAAGCGUGGGUAGCAAACGGGAUUAGAUA
rnacentral:rRNA from 1 species